CCCCCAUGAAAUAAAGAAAAUUUUAAAAUGGGCAUUCCCAAGACAGCAAAGGCGAAGGCCUAGGUAGAGUUGGAGUUUGCUCACUAGUUCUACUUUUACUUGAAACACAAUUUUAUUCUCGGAAAAACCUUACUCCAUGGAUCCAAACUAGGUUAAAGUUGUCACAGUCAUCCUUGAACCUUUUGAGCCUCUGAAUAACCUAUUCGACCUCGUAAGUUCCCACUCCUUACAUAUAGUGGUGUCAAACGAGUAGGGCUCACCUAUACAACAAGGGACUAAAUACCGCCCGAACAGCGGUCCAUCUCAACAAGUGUUUUUGGCAAGGGCCUUCAUGGCAUUCAUUUCUCUCCUUCUCUUCGAAUGUAAAUAAUGUCAACAAAAACUCAUGUCCUCAAGCACAUGAAUGGCCUACAUGACAUUCAUGUUAGGUGAAGAUUUUGUAUACAGAACUAAAAAAGUUGAAUGUUGCAAUAGUACAUAAAACAUGCUAACCACAUAUUGCAUGCCUCUAUAAAAUAUUUUUCAAUGGAAUAAAGAACUCUAAAUUCAUGAGCCAUAUACAUCAUCUUUCCAACAACUUUGAACCAAUUCUUACAGUGCAUAUUUAGUACAAAAUAUUCAAAUCCAACAAACCUAUAACUAAAUUUUUUAAACAUGGCAGGACAUGCACUUGAUGGUAAAUAAUCGUUAUAUAUUUCUUCUGCGAUUGCAUGGGACUACCUGCUAACUAAGCUUUGACAGUCCAUUCGAGACCAAAGAAGAAGAAGAAUGUGCCAAAAUGUAAUUAUAGACUUCCACAAAAGAAUGCAAUCUAGGUGAAGAGAUAAUGACAACAGCCUGAACGUCAGAACAAGAAAACAUAGGUACCAAAUCUUGAUAAAAAUGUCAGCACCCAUAAAUUAGCAUCUGAU
rnacentral:lncRNA from 1 species